rnacentral:rRNA from 1 species
UACGGAGGAGGCUAGCGUUGUUCGGAAUUACUGGGCGUAAAGCGUACGCAGGUGGCGGACCAAGUCGGAUGUGAAAGCCCGGGGCUCAACCCCGGAUGUGCAUCCGAUACUGUUCUGCUGGAGUCCGGAAGAGGAGAGCGGAAUUCCCAGUGUAGAGGUGAAAUUCGUAGAUAUUGGGAAGAACACCGGUGGCGAAGGCGGCUCACUGGCCCGGUACUGACGCUGAGGUGCGAAAGCGUGGGGAGCAAACAGG